AGUCUCGUAGCUCAGCUGGUUAGAAAGGCUACACUGAUAAUGUAGAGGUCGGCAGUUCGAGCCUGCCUCGAGACUA
rnacentral:tRNA from 1 species